AUGCCCAGCUCCCGGCGGCGCUGGAGGCCGGGACGGUCCGGCUACCCCGUCGCGGGUCCUGGCCCCGCCCCUCCCCCCGGCCGCCGCGGCGGUGUUGUUGUGGUGGCGGCGGCGGCCGGCUGCAGCGGAGCUCGCCGAGUCUUACGAGGCUGGCCCUGCGCGUCGCUGCGGUGGGCUAGACUGGCCGGCGUGCCACAGUAUCUAUCUGUGCUCUUGUGUCCACACUGCUGUGUGUGUAGACUGUUCUAUGCCCUCAUGCCCUGGGGCAUGCUGGUUUGUUCCAGUGCCAGCCCCAGGAUCUUCCAUGUGACAGCUUCAGAGUAAUUCUUUAACAUCAAAGAUGGACAUCUGAAGUGGCAUCCUGAUACCCUGGCUGUGCUCUGAGUCAUGACUAUCAGGAUAUUCAUGUUUGGGUUGGUAUUCUCUUAAGAUUCUUCUUAAUUUCUUUUAUAAAUUCUUCUUUGACUCAUUGGUUGCUUUAGGAGCAUAUUGGUUAAUUUCAUGUAUUUUUGAAUUUUCCAAAAUUCCUCCUGUUGAAUUCUAGUUUCAUUCCUUUAUGAUCAGAAAACAUUCUUAAUAUGAUUUCAGUGUUCCUGAAUUUGUGAAGAUUUGUUCUUUUGACCUAAGAAAUUCUUUAUCCUGGAGAAUGGUCUAUGUGUGCUUGUGAAGAAUGUAUAUUCUGUCUCUCUGGGUGGAAUGUUCCAUUUAUGUCUCUCUGGUCCAUUUGGUCUGAAGGAAUGCUCAAAUCAUUAUUUCCCAAAUUGUUGAUAUCUGUCACGAUGAUUUGUUUAUUGCUGAAUGCGAAGUGUUGAAAUCUCUAUUAUUACUGUACUAUAUUACUGUAUAUAGUCUCUCUUACUCUUCACCUUUCUUGAUACUUGCUUUGUAUAUUAGGUCCUCCAAAAUUGGGUGCAUACAUAGUUUGAAAUUGCUAUAUGCUUUUUAAUUAUUAUUAUUUUUUUUAAGAUUUUGCUUAUUCAGAAGGCAGAGUGACAGAGAGAAGAAAGAUCUUCCAUCUGUUGGUUCAUUCCCCAAAUGGCUGCAAUGGCUGGGGCUGGGCCAGGCUGAAGCCAGAAAUCAAGAUCUUCAGCUGGGUCUUCCACCUGGGUGGCAGGUGCCCAAGCACUUGGGCAUCCUUUGCUGCUUUUCCAGGCACGUAACCAGGAAGCUGGAUUGUUAGUGGAACAGCUAGAACUUGAACUGGUGCCCAUAUGAAACGCCGACAUUACAGGCGCCAGCUUAACCUGCUUCACCACAGCACUAGCCUCUGCUAUAUGUUUUUGAUGAAUUGGACCUCUUCAAUGUAAUAUGACCUUCUGUACCACUUUUUACAAUUUUUGACGGAAAAUCUGUUUUAUCUAAGUGACCUUACGCUGGCUCCCUCUUAGGUACCACUUACCUAGAAUAUUGUUUUUCAUCUCUUCACUCUGUCUUUAUGUGUUCUUAUGACUAAAGUAAAUUUCUUGUAGGCAGCAUAUUGUCAGAUCUUGUUUUUUUUUUAUCCAUUCUGCUUGUGUAUUGGUUGGAAAAUUUAAUCCAUUUACAUUUAAAGUAACUUGAUAAGGACUUUCUACUGGCAUUUUGUGUUCUAUGGUUUGUUUCCUUCUUUUCUUUCCAUCUUGAUGACUUUGUGAUUUGUUGUAUUUUUGUAGAUGUAUGCUUUGACUUCUUUACUUUUUGUGUAGAUACACCCUUUCUUUCUUUUGAAAUUUGCCAAGAGCCUUACAUAUAUUAGGUAUGUCACUGUUUGCAAUAUUUCCUCAGAAAAUUUGUGAGGCGAUAGCAGGAAAGGACAAAUGGGACACAGGCAAAGUCACUGUGAAAGGCUCUGGUGGAGCUGUCACAGUAGUGCUUUUUUCUGCUUGGUGCCAUAGGUCUGAUGACUCCAAGGACGCUGGAGGCCCUGAUUGCUUUUCUUCUCUUAAAAGUCAAGAGUUGGUAUAUAGCCUUGCCAGAAUGGGCUAUCAUAGCUCUUUUUUUUGGCAUUGGGUAUUCCAUUUCUCACUUUCCUUUUCUUCUUAUUUAUUAAUUUAGAAAUUGAGAUGUGAAUUUAUUCAUUACAAUUGAAUAAAACUUAAAUUGUAUGUUUAUUAUGCCUUGAA
rnacentral:lncRNA from 1 species